GGGAUAACUACUGGAAACGGUAGCUAAUACCGCAUAACGUCGCAAGACCAAAGAGGGGGACCCUCGGGCCUCUUGCCAUCGGAUGUGCCCAGAUGGGAUUAGCUUGUUGGUGGGGUAACGGCUCACCAAGGCGACGAUCCCUAGCUGGUCUGAGAGGAUGACCAGCCACACUGGAACUGAGACACGGUCCAGACUCCUACGGGAGGCAGCAGUGGGGAAUAUUGCACAAUGGGCGCAAGCCUGAUGCAGCCAUGCCGCGUGUAUGAAGAAGGCCUUCGGGUUGUAAAGUACUUUCAGCGGGGAGGAAGGGAGUAAAGUUAAUACCUUUGCUCAUUGACGUUACCCGCAGAAGAAGCACCGGCUAACUCCGUGCCAGCAGCCGCGGUAAUACGGAGGGUGCAAGCGUUAAUCGGAAUUACUGGGCGUAAAGCGCACGCAGGCGGUUUGUUAAGUCAGAUGUGAAAUCCCCGGGCUCAACCUGGGAACUGCAUCUGAUACUGGCAAGCUUGAGUCUCGUAGAGGGGGGUAGAAUUCCAGGUGUAGCGGUGAAAUGCGUAGAGAUCUGGAGGAAUACCGGUGGCGAAGGCGGCCCCCUGGACGAAGACUGACGCUCAGGUGCGAAAGCGUGGGGAGCAAACAGGAUUAGAUACCCUGGUAGUCCACGCCGUAAACGAUGUCGACUUGGAGGUUGUGCCCUUGAGGCGUGGCUUCCGGAGCUAACGCGUUAAGUCGACCGCCUGGGGAGUACGGCCGCAAGGUUAAAACUCAAAUGAAUUGACGGGGGCCCGCACAAGCGGUGGAGCAUGUGGUUUAAUUCGAUGCAACGCGAAGAACCUUACCUGGUCUUGACAUCCACGGAAGUUUUCAGAGAUGAGAAUGUGCCUUCGGGAACCGUGAGACAGGUGCUGCAUGGCUGUCGUCAGCUCGUGUUGUGAAAUGUUGGGUUAAGUCCCGCAACGAGCGCAACCCUUAUCCUUUGUUGCCAGCGGUCCGGCCGGGAACUCAAAGGAGACUGCCAGUGAUAAACUGGAGGAAGGUGGGGAUGACGUCAAGUCAUCAUGGCCCUUACGACCAGGGCUACACACGUGCUACAAUGGCGCAUACAAAGAGAAGCGACCUCGCGAGAGCAAGCGGACCUCAUAAAGUGCGUCGUAGUCCGGAUUGGAGUCUGCAACUCGACUCCAUGAAGUCGGAAUCGCUAGUAACCGUGGAUCAGAAUGCCACGGUGAAUACGUUCCCGGGCCUUGUACACACCGCCCGUCACACCAUGGGAGUGGGUUGCAAAAGAAGUAGGUAGCUUAACCUUCGGGAGGGCGCUUACCACUUUGUGAUUCAUGACUGGGGUGAAGUCGUAACAAGGUA
rnacentral:rRNA from 1 species